UUUGUUGCAGUACGUGGUUACAGAGAGUUUUAGAUACUCUUGUCUACAAGGAUCCUAUUUUGCCACCCUGAGCGACGAUGGAACACCUUGGUGGUGAGUAGUGUGUUUUAUUGUUGAUUACGUGUUUUAGUAAAACAAGCAUUAUACUUACAAGUAUAUAUUCAUUAAGGUUUCUCAACGAUAUGACAGUCCAGAGGGGGGUUAACCAUCUAAAGCAUCGAUGAGGUCUAGUGAUUUUAUAAUUGUUUUAUUUUCUCCAUCUUAACGUAUUUAAAUUGUAUUUACAUGUAUGCAAAUAUCUUUUAGAAAGCGACUGCAGACAGCCUUCCACCAUCUUUAGGAUCCUAACUACAAAAAGCGUGGAAACAGGCCUGCAGACCGAGCUAAGAAACCUUCAAGAAAUACAAAAACAACUCGCAACAAGCAUUGAGUGGCUUACCACAACCCUCAACAAGUAAGCCGUCCUUGGAUGGUAAGGACGUGAACCGCAUGAUAUUAUAACAUUUGAGACCUUUCACCUACUUAUAGAACUUUUGUCAAACAUUCUCCAGGGUGUUCUCCAAAAGGACCAAAGUGGGUUAAACCCACAAUAAAAACGCCUGCGAUAGAGUCCACAUCCAAGGACAUGUGGGGAGGAAUUGAAGUUUUUAUUGGCCGAUAUAGCAACAUUUUAGAUCUUUAUCUACAUUAUAUAACAUUCAAAAAUGUUUUCUACUCAGGGCUGUGGUAUCCAUCAGAAGGCCCCGCGGUGUUUAAACCUCCAAUAAAAAGGCCCGCGUUAGCUCCCACCCGUCAGGACACCAGGGGAGGUCUAUAGUUUCCUCCCAAACAGGCACGAGGUGAUAAACACAUGCAAAAGGUUAAACACACAAAAGGUUAAAAGACAGCCUUUGGCGGCGUGGACUACACCGAAUGAAGAGCCGGAACUUUUUACCUCAAGAUACGACGACCUAAUAAGCGAUGAGGAAUUAAUACGCCGUGUUGAGGACCUCGAAUCGGACCUGAGAGGAGGCGAGACCAGAAGGCUGUAGGUGAGCAGAGAGAGGACGCUGCGCUGGUUGUACCGAAUGCCGAAGAGAAUGACCGACAUGGCGAGUUGUUAAAGGAGAUCCGGGAUUUGCGCCACACCACCCAGAAUUUAACAGCAUUAGUGACCAAACUCUGUAAAUCGCAGGACGAGACCAAGCAAACCAUAAAACAUAAUAUGGCAGUAUAAGAGAAAGCCGGUACGACUAUCAUAGACCUGCAAUUACAUGAAUUAAGAAAUAAGAAUUUACAUCUAAAACUAAAUACUAAAAUUAAUAAACUAAAAACAUUAAACUUAAAAAAAAAAGUUUUCUCCCAUCCUGCGAAUCAAUAUUGUCACUCCCCCUGUGACAUCAUCGAUGGAAGCGGCUUUGAUAUAGACACUGUGACAUCAUCGAUGGAAGCGGCUUUGAUAUAGACAUAAUCAUCAGUCAAUAAAUCAAUACAUCGUUCAGUCCAAAAGAGUUGCUAUGUUAGUUUUGGGAACAAUAGGAAACCACGGUGCAGGUUGGAUUUCUGGUUCUUGUUUCUGGAGUUUUUUUUUGUUCAUUUUUUGUCCUAUUGUGAUGAUUUGCUUGGCACUGUGGUAAGUGUCCUUGAGAUGCAGUAAAACAGUAGGAAAAAAGGUAACACUUUCUAUGAAGCCUAUGUCUAAUGCAUUGUAAAGAUACUUGUAAUGUGUUACAAUCUGCUUCUGGCACUGUCAAUUAUAGUUAUAAGGACCUAAAUAUUCAUGAAGCUUAUGACUUAUAAGGUCAAAUAUCAUAUUCCUUCAUAAUUGUUGCUCGCUCACUGACAUUCCUUUGCAAGGAUUAUAUUGUAUUAUAAUUCUCCUGGUUGUAAUUUAUUAUCAUUUUGUUACAAUGUUUUAAUGCAAUGUUACCAAGAGUGGUCCUUAGUGAUAAGUAUUGAAAUUCCUGCAGUUUAUGCGGAUAUAAUAUAUGACAAGCAGGUUAUAUGUCACUGUAAGUUUCACUGUUUGCUUUAGGUAAAGUGAAAAAAAAUCAGAUAUCUGAUGUUUGAAAACAUUUUGUGAAGAGGGUCUUCCUGGACCCCUCCACUCAGCAGUGUUAACAGUAUUCCAGUUUUUUAUGAAGGCUAUAUUUUGUUGUCUGCCUUUUAUGCUUUGACUAAAAUUAAAGAGUGGGACCUUUCACUGCCUUUUGUGUUAUUAUCCGUUAUGAAACAUUGACUAUUGUGAACACAUUUCCCUUAAAAUUAUAAAGAAAAUGGUUAAAUUGUUAGUAUGGAAAUAAACCUUUAUGUAAUGAACUAGAUAUUUAAUGACAGGUAAUUAAUUACUGCAGUUGGGAUUCUGACUUAAAACUGGAAUGUUUGUCCUCAUAUAACCACUAUUAAAUAGGGAGCCCCCUGUCAAGAUAAACACAUGGAGAAAUUACCUUUUUAGUUAAAUUCCUCCUGGGGGUCCGUGGAGAACUGUGAAUGUCAUUUAAUGUUUUCAGGUGUACAUUCACAAUAUCAAUUAUUCAAAGUUGAUAGUGGUGUGUACUUUUCAAACCCCUAGUUUGAAAACAUUGAAAAUCUUGUACUAAAGCGUAUAGUUCAUGAGAAUUGACAUUGCGUUACAGGACAAAAUUAAGUUACUUUUAUAAAAUAAUAGUGUUUUACUGCAAA